rnacentral:rRNA from 1 species
CAAUAGCGUGUAUUAAAGUUGUUGCAGUUAAAAAGCUCGUAGUUGGAUUUGUGGCGUACGGUGUGUUCCGGGCACUUGUUGUCUGAGUAACCUGCUGUUGCCAUCCUUGGGUGGAACCUGUGUGGCAUUAGGUUGUCGUGCAGGGGAUGCCCAUCAUUUACUGUGAAAAAAUUAGAGUGUUCAAAGCAGGCUUAUGCCGUUGAAUAUAUUAGCAUGGAAUAAUGGGAUAGGACUUUUUUGCUAUUUUGUUGGUUUGCGCAAAGAGGUAAUGAUUAAUAGGGACAGUUGGGGAUAUUCGUAUUCCAUUGUCAGAGGUGAAAUUCUUGGAUUUUUGGAAGACGAACUACUGCGAAAGCAUUUACCAAGGAUGUUUUCAUUAA